CCUACGGGUUGCACCAGUGGGGAAUAUUGCACAAUGGGCGCAAGCCUGAUGCAGCCAUGCCGCGUGCAUGAAGAAGGCCUUAGGGUUGUAAAGUACUUUCAGUUGGGAGGAAGGCGUUGAUGCUAAUAUCAUCAGCGAUUGAUGUUACCAACAGAAGAAGCACCGGCUAACUCCGUGCCAGCAGCCGCGGUAAUACGGAGGGUGCAAGCGUUAAUCGGAAUUACUGGGCGUAAAGCGCACGCAGGCGGUUGAUUAAGUUAGAUGUGAAAUCCCCGGGCUUAACCUGGGAAUGGCAUCUAAGACUGGUCAGCUAGAGUCUUGUAGAGGGGGGUAGAAUUCCAUGUGUAGCGGUGAAAUGCGUAGAGAUGUGGAGGAAUACCGGUGGCGAAGGCAGCCCCCUGGACAAAGACUGACGCUCAGGAGCGAAAGCGUGGGGAGCAAACAGGAUUAGAUACCCCGGUAGUC
rnacentral:rRNA from 1 species